rnacentral:rRNA from 1 species
AGUCAAGUAAUUAAGUGCAUGUGGUGGAUGCCUUGGCAGUCAGAGGCGAUGAAAGACGUGAUAGCCUGCGAAAAGCUCCGGGGAGGCGGCAAAUAUCCUUUGAUCCGGAGAUGUCUGAAUGGGGGAACCCACCUACUUUAAGGUAGGUAUUGCAACAUGAAUACAUAGUGUUGCAAGGCGAACGAGGGGAAGUGAAACAUCUCAGUACCCUUAGGAAAAGAAAUCAAUUGAGAUUCCCUCAGUAGCGGCGAGCGAACGGGGAUCAGCCCAUUAAGUUAUGUGUGUUUUAGUGGAACGCUCUGGGAAGUGCGAACGUAGAGGGUGAUAUUCCCGUACACGAAAGGGCACACAUAAUGAUGACGAGUAGGGCGAGGCACGUGAAACCUUGUCUGAAUAUGGGGGGACCAUCCUCCAAGGCUAAAUACUCCUGACUGACCGAUAGUGAACCAGUACCGUGAGGGAAAGGCGAAAAGAACCCCUGUGAGGGGAGUGAAAUAGAUCCUGAAACCGCAUGCAUACAAGCAGUGGGAGCACCUUCGUGGUGUGACUGCGUACCUUUUGUAUAAUGGGUCAGCGACUUAUAUUCAGUAGCGAGGUUAACCGUAUAGGGGAGCCGUAGAGAAAUCGAGUCUUAAUAGGGCGUUUAGUUGCUGGGUAUAGACCCGAAACCAGGCGAUCUAUCCAUGAGCAGGUUGAAGGUUGGGUAACACUAACUGGAGGACCGAACCCACUGUCGUUGAAAAGCCAGGGGAUGACUUGUGGAUAGGGGUGAAAGGCUAAUCAAGCCUGGUGAUAGCUGGUUCUCCCCGAAAGCUAUUUAGGUAGCGCCUCGGACGAAUACCAUAGGGGGUAGAGCACUGUUUCGGCUAGGGGGUCAUCCCGACUUACCAAACCGAUGCAAACUCCGAAUACCUAUGAGUACUAUCCGGGAGACAGACUGCGGGUGCUAACGUCCGUAGUCAAGAGGAAAACAAUCCAGACCGCCAGCUAAGGCCCCAAAAUCAUAGUUAAGUGGGAAACGAUGUGGGAAGGCAUAGACAGCUAGGAGGUUGGCUUAGAAGCAGCCACCCUUUAAAGAAAGCGUAAUAGCUCACUAGUCGAGUCGGCCUGCGCGGAAGAUGUAACGGGGCUAAAACUAUGUGCCGAAGCUGCGGAUGUAUACUUUGUAUACGUGGUAGGGGAGCGUUCUGUAAGCCGAUGAAGGUGUGUUGAGAAGCAUGCUGGAGGUAUCAGAAGUGCGAAUGCUGACGUGAGUAACGACAAAACGGGUGAAAAACCCGUUCGCCGAAAGACCAAGGGUUCCAGUCCAACGUUAAUCGGGGCUGGGUGAGUCGACCCCUAAGGCGAGGCCGAAAGGCGUAGUCGAUGGGAAAAUGGUUAAUAUUCCAUUACUUCUGUGUAAUGCGAUGAGAGGACGGAGAAGGCUAAAUCAGCCUGGCGUUGGUUGUCCAGGUGAAAGGAUGUAGGCAUGUAUCUUAGGCAAAUCCGGGGUACUCUAUGCUGAGAUCUGAUAGCAAGCUGUACUUGUACAGCGAAGUGGUUGAUGCCAUGCUUCCAGGAAAAGUCUCUAAGCUUCAGUUACACAGGAAUCGUACCCGAAACCGACACAGGUGGUCAGGUCGAGUAGACCAAGGCGCUUGAGAGAACUCUGCUGAAGGAACUAGGCAAAAUGGUACCGUAACUUCGGGAGAAGGUACGCUGUUGUUGGUGAUGGAACUCGCUUCCUGAGCUGACGACAGCCGCAGAAACCAGGCCGCUGCAACUGUUUAUUAAAAACAUAGCACUCUGCAAACACGAAAGUGGACGUAUAGGGUGUGAUGCCUGCCCGGUGCUGGAAGGUUAAUUGAUGGGGUUAGCGUAAGCGAAGCUCUUGAUCGAAGCCCCAGUAAACGGCGGCCGUAACUAUAACGGUCCUAAGGUAGCGAAAUUCCUUGUCGGGUAAGUUCCGACCUGCACGAAUGGCAUAAUGAUGGCGGCGCUGUCUCCAGCAGAGGCUCAGUGAAAUCGAAAUCGCUGUGAAGAUGCAGUGUACCCGCGGCUAGACGGAAAGACCCCGUGAACCUUUACUGCAGCUUGACACUGAACUUUGACCUUACUUGUGUAGGAUAGGUGGGAGGCUUUGAAGCUGGAACGCUAGUUCCAGUGGAGCCGUCCUUGAAAUACCACCCUGGUAAUGUUGAGGUUCUAACUCUGUCCCGUGAUCCGGGACGAGGACCGUGUCUGGUGGGUAGUUUGACUGGGGCGGUCUCCUCCUAAAGAGUAACGGAGGAGUACGAAGGUGCGCUCAGCGUGGUCGGAAAUCACGCGUAGAGUAUAAAGGCAAAAGCGCGCUUAACUGCGAGACCCACAAGUCGAGCAGGUACGAAAGUAGGUCUUAGUGAUCCGGUGGUUCUGUAUGGAAGGGCCAUCGCUCAACGGAUAAAAGGUACUCUGGGGAUAACAGGCUGAUACCGCCCAAGAGUUCAUAUCGACGGCGGUGUUUGGCACCUCGAUGUCGGCUCAUCUCAUCCUGGGGCUGAAGCAGGUCCCAAGGGUAUGGCUGUUCGCCAUUUAAAGAGGUACGCGAGCUGGGUUUAGAACGUCGUGAGACAGUUCGGUCCCUAUCUACCGUGGGCGCUGGAAAUUUGAGAGGAUCUGCUCCUAGUACGAGAGGACCAGAGUGGACGAACCUCUGGUGUACCGGUUGUGACGCCAGUCGCAUCGCCGGGUAGCUAUGUUCGGAAGGGAUAACCGCUGAAAGCAUCUAAGCGGGAAGCCUACCUCAAGAUAAGAUUUCCCUAGGACUUUAUGUCCUCUAAAGAGCCGUUCGAGACUAGGACGUUGAUAGGUUGGAUGUGGAAGCAUAGUGAUAUGUGAAGCUGACCAAUACUAAUUGCUCGUGAGGCUUAACUAU